rnacentral:rRNA from 1 species
AACGAACGCUGGCGGCAGGCUUAACACAUGCAAGUCGAGCGGGCCCUUCGGGGUCAGCGGCGGACGGGUGAGUAACGCGUGGGAACGUGCCCUCUUCUACGGAAUAGCCCAGGGAAACUUGGAUUAAUGCCGUAUACGCCCGAAAGGGGAAAGAUUUAUCGGAGGAGGAUCGGCCCGCGUUGGAUUAGGUAGUUGGUGGGGUAAUGGCCUACCAAGCCGACGAUCCAUAGCUGGUUUGAGAGGAUGAUCAGCCACACUGGGACUGAGACACGGCCCAGACUCCUACGGGAGGCAGCAGUGGGGAAUCUUGGACAAUGGGGGCAACCCUGAUCCAGCCAUGCCGCGUGAAUGAUGAAGGCCUUAGGGUUGUAAAGUUCUUUCAGCUGGGAAGAUAAUGACGGUACCAGCAGAAGAAGCCCCGGCUAACUACGUGCCAGCCGCCGCAGUAAAAC